CGUCAGGCUGGCAAAUCCGCCUGAUAAGCCAAAGACGUGAUGUGGAGCGAAAUAAAAGUAGCGAAGUAUGUGAGCCAUGUGCCGAGAAAAGCCGCUAUCGUUUUAUAUGUGCCCGUACCGUAAACCGACACAGGUGGAUGAGGAGAGAAUCCUAAGGCCGACGGAAGAAGCAUUGUUAAGGAACUCGGCAAAAUGACCCCGUAACUUCGGGAGAAGGGGUGCCCACUUCAGGGUGGGCCGCAGAGAAUAGGCUCAAGCAACUGUUUAGCAAAAACACAGGUCUAUGCGAAACCGUAAGGUGAAGUAUAUGGGCUGACGCCUGCCCGGUGCUGGAAGGUUAAGAGGAGAGGUUAGUCGCAAGAUGAAGCUUUGAAUUUAAGCCCCAGUAAACGGCGGCCGUAACAAUAACGGUCCUAAGGUAGCGAAAUUCCUUGUCGGGUAAGUUCCGACCCGCACGAAAGGCGAAAUGAUUUGAGCACUGUCUCGACAAUGCAUCCGGUGAAAUUGAAGUACCAGUGAAGAUGCUGGUUACCCGCGCCAGGACGGAAAGACCCCAUGGAGCUUUACUCCAGUUUGGUACUGGGAUUCGGUACUGCAUGUACAGGAUAGGUGGGAGACUGAGAAAUUGGAACGCCAGUUUCAAUGGAGUCACUGUUGGGAUACCACCCCUGCAGUAUUGGGUUUCUAACCAGCCGCUGUGAUCCAGCGGUGGGACAAUGCCAGGCGGGGAGUUUGACUGGGGCGGUCGCCUCCGAAAGGGUAUCGGAGGCGCUCAAAGGUUCCCUCAGAAUGGUCGGAAACCAUUUUAAGAGUGCAAAGGCAGAAGGGAGCUUGACUGCGACACCGACGGGUGGAGCAGGUACGAAAGUAGGACUUAGUGAUCCGGUGGCAUAAAGUGGGAUUGCCAUCGCUCAACGGAUAAAAGCUACCCUGGGAUAACAGGCUUAUCACUCCCAAGAGUUCACAUCGACGGAGUGGUUUGGCACCUCGAUGUCGGCUCAUCGCAUCCUGGGGCUGUAGCAGGUCCCAAGGGUUGGGCUGUUCGCCCAUUAAAGCGGUACGCGAGCUGGGUUCAGAACGUCGUGAGACAGUUCGGUCCCUAUCCGGCGCGGGCGGAGGAUAUUUGAGAGGAGCUGUCCUUAGUACGAGAGGACCGGGAUGGACGGACCACUGGUGUAUCUGCUGUCGACCAACGGCAUGGCAGAGUAGCCAAGUCCGGAAGGGAUAAACGCUGAAGGCAUCUAAGCGUGAAGCCCCCCUCAAGAUGAGAUAUCCCUCACAUAAGUGAGUAAGAUCCCUUGAAGAGUACAAGGUAGAUAGGGCAGAGGUGGAAGCAUGGUAACAUGUGGAGCUGACUGUUACUAAUCGAUCGAGGGCUUGAUC
rnacentral:rRNA from 1 species